ACCUGCGUUGCUACCCUCUCAAUAUUGCUGCUGUAUCCUGGCAAUGCAAGUGAUAAUGGUUGGUGAAUUGCUGUUUGCAAUGUGCGUGUAUGAAUUUAACAGAAACAUUUUAGUUCAGUGAUUAGAGACAAACUACAUGUUACUUCAUCUAUAUUACAUGAAACAGUUGCCUAGGAUUGCUUCCUCCAUCCAGUCUAUUCUGCUGACGAAAUUGUGGAUCUUGUCAGUUACAUCUUAUAUAAGUGAAACGCUGCUGGUAUUAUGAUGCUCUUCAUUUCCAGAUACUGGUUGACAAAUGAAUUUACACAUUACAAGUUACUGGUUGACAAAUGAAUAUGUGGGUAUUCAGUUGCCUGUGUACAUGUAUAUUUGUGAUAUUGCAUAGCUGCUUUUAUGUAUAAACUAGCAAUGGGAUUCUGAAAUCAGUCUUUCCAUCAUAUAUAUGCUACUGUGUUGAAUCUAGUAACUUUGCAUCUGCAUGUUUUCUCAGUUCAAGCAUCAACUAUCAUGUUAACGUUCCUGACACAUCAUUAAUGCUGGAAUAUCAACAAUGUCUUCAGUAAGAAUAAACCUGCAAGUGUCUCUCCUUUGCUUGGAGAAGUAACAUGUUUGCUCUGUGUAUUUAUCUCUGAUAUUUUCCUAGAUUGGAGAACUUAGCUUCAAGCCUUGCUGAAACCAUUCAGCAAGGAGAACUACCUGCAAAAGCAUCUGUUAUAGCACCGACCAUUUUAGAGACAGGGAAGUCAUUUACAGCAAGAGGUAUGGAAGUGCUUGAACGUAUUGGAAAGGAGACAAUGGAGUUUAUUGUUGAAGAAACUGGUAUGGAAGUUGACAAAGGUAGUGCCGGUGAAGGUGACCAGCAGACAGAAGAGGAGCUGUUUGACAGUUUCAUAUAUUUCCUGUUACGUUUUAUGACAGUUGUUAAUUUCUCUCAUCAUGAUAAUAGAUAGCUGUUCUUUUCUCCAAUGGUCUAGGCUGAAUAUAAGUUACAGAAUGGUUGCAACUAGGCUUGGUUUUGACAUAGCAGUUACAAAUAAUUUUUUGGAUGAUUUAUCACUCUUAUAGUAAAUUAUUAGGCUUCAUAGUAAAUAAUUCUCGUAAUUUACUAGGCCUCCAUUGACCCUGCACUGUGGUAAAUUAACCAAAUACUUUACUACCUUUCGACUUAUGUGGAUUUCACUAGUAAACUUUUAAUAUUGUUGGAACCAAAUACUUUACUAUCUUUAUCGCAAAUCAUAGUCAGAAAAUUACGUCUACAAUUGUUGUGCUACUGUAAUUUUGACUGAUCAAUUAUGUGGUAAAUUAACCAUAUCAUUUACUAGUUUUUGAAUUAUAUUACUAAAUACAUUACUACUAAAUACAUUGGAGUUGUGAUUGAAUUACUACUAAAUUUGUGAAAUGUUGGAACUUGGUCGAUGUUAUAGUAAAUUCGUAGGUUUAUGUUAAUUACUUAUCAGGAAGUGGGUUUCUCAUAAAUCACUGUCAGUAAGUUAUGUUCAAUUUUGUUGUGUUACUACAUAUGUGGUUCAUUGGUGCUCGUGACCUUAUUUGCUCACUGUUCGUCCAAUUUUUUAGCGCUUUUCCAUGGUGCGUGGUGAGCCACCCAAAAAAUCCACUUUACUAAGAUCAGAUUCCCUUUGGAUUAGAAGCAGAUUACCUCUAGAUUAGCAGCUUCGUUGACCCUUGGUAGCGGUAAAAUCACCAUAUAAUUUACUAUUUUUUAAGUAUGCCUAUUUCACCAGGUUUUAGAGUAGUGUUUGAUUUAUCUAAAAUCUGGGUCUUAUGUAGCACAAAACUAUUUUUUUGAAUUACGAUGGAACCUUGUCAAUGUUAUGGCAAAUUCAUGGUUUCCUGUUAAUAACUUAUCAUAAUGUUUUUUCUCAUUAAUCGUAGUUAAAAAAUUAUUUCAAUCAACAUUGUGUUACUGCAAUUUUGACCCAUGAAUUAUGCCGUACAUAUGUGCUUGUGUCCUUAUUAACUUCUAUUAUACUUCUCAGUUUUCAAUUAGUGCAGCCACUGUGGCUAAAAAAAUGACGAGCACCCAUUCUGGUCACCACGUUAUUUUUAGCAAGUUAGACCUCUCUUUCUAUGAACACCAUUUACCAGCUGGCUGCAUAGGUUUUAGGUACAAAUAAUUUUUUGGAUGAUUUAUCGCUGUUAUAGUAAAUUAUCAGGGUUCAUAGUAAAUAAUUCUCGUAAUUUACUAGCCCUCCAACCCUGCACAGCGGUAAAUUAACCAAAUACUUUACUACCAUUCGACUUAUGUGGAUUUCACUAGUAAGUUGGAACUGAAUGUUGUAGUAGUUUCAUGGACUCAUGUUCAUUAGUUGUCAAGAACUUCCUUUGUCAAAUCAUAGUCAGAAAAUUAGGUCUGCCAUUGUUGUGUUACUGUAAUUGGCUGAUCAAUUAUGUGGUAAAUUAACCAUAGUAGUUUCUUGGACUACUACAACAUUAGUCUUGCAGCUCCUCUGUUUUCAGUAAAUGACCUUGUGGUUAAUUAAUGAUGCCAUUCUCGUAAAAUUUGCCAAGCCAUUAACCUAACCAUUCUAGUAAAUUGAUGAUGUCAUUGUGGUAAAUUCAAACAAGCAUGGCUGUCUUAUCAAUGUCCUCACUUUUUUCAAAGUAACAGUUUUGAUUUUUCACCCUUGCAGAUUGAAAAAUGAUUUGUUCAGCAGUCCUGUAGUAAGGAGCUUGCGAUCCCUAUUAACAAAAAGAUAUCCGCCAUAGCUUCCAAUAACUGCAAAGAUAUUAUAGUAGAUGUGUUGUUUCAUGCUAUUUAGUUAUUGUAAAUUUGGUUUUCCACAAAUCCAAGACACAAGACCAUACAAAAUGGUAGUAGUGUAUGAGAAUUUUUAUGGGUAUAAUUAGCAUUGUUUGCUUUUCUAGCUGCUCUGGUUUUCAGUUGUAGUAUAGUAUAUUCAGUAUUAAGAUCUUUCAGCUGCUCUGUUUUCAGUUGCAGAAUAGAGGACCAAAUAUCCCUAUGUGUUAGUGCUUGCAAGUUAGUUUCCUUCUACUCGGCUGCUGUCAAUUCAUUAUGCGCUGCAUGAUUCUUCAUAUUUUUGCAAUUUAUCUGCCCAGGUAUUGAUGUAUGCCUAAUCUGCAUGCAUAUUUGCUCUCAAUCAUCUAAACACUUGUUACAGAUAUGAAAUGAAUAUAUUUGUUUACUAUUCUCCUUGUUAUGAAGUUUUCAGGUGAUGAGGCCUUGUGGCAAGUUAUGGGCAAGAUGCGCUCACUUAAGAGCAGCUAAUAGGCAUGGUUGAUUAAUUCUGAGUUCAGCAUCUGGCCUUGAUGCAACUGAACGAGAGAAGCUCCAAUUGAUUCUCUAAUUCUGAUGUACACAUAUAUGUGUGUAAUGUUUUCUAAAUUAUUGUACAGUACUUCAAGCAAGUCGUAGUUCAUAUAUGCCAUAUCCCUCUGUUAAUGUUUUACCGUAACAAUCGACUAUACAGAUUACCCCAUUGUGGUAAUUCUACUAUAUUGGAUUCUAGUAAAUUGGGAAUCAUUUUACAGGACUUGAUCACAGCA